rnacentral:tRNA from 2 species
GGAAGGCAUCCGUGCCCGGUGGCACGGCCGGGCUUCAAACCCGGUUGGGGACGUCAGACGUUCCCAGGUAGGUUCGACUCCUGCUGCCUUCCGCCA